AGCAGCCGCGGUAAUUCCAGCUCCAAUAGCGUAUAUUAAAGUUGCUGCAGUUAAAAAGCUCGUAGUUGAAUUUCGGGAUCGAUAUAUCGGUCGUGCCUCGGUACGUACUGGUAUUUUCGGUUUCUCCCUUCUGACGAACCUUGAUGUCAUUAAUUUGGUGUCUUGGGGAAUCAGGACUGUUACUUUGAAAAAAUUAGAGUGUUUAAAGCAGGCUCACGCUUGAAUACAUUAGCAUGGAAUAAUGAAAUAGGACGUUUGAUUCUAUUUUGUUGGUUUCUAGGAUCGACGUAAUGAUUAAUAGGGAUAGUUGGGGGCAUUAGUAUUCAAUUGUCAGAGGUGAAAUUCUUGGAUUUAUUGAAGACUAACUACUGCGAAAGCAUUUGCCAAGGAUGUUUUCAUUAAUCAAGAACGAAAGUUAGGGAUCGAAGACGAUCAGAUACCGUCGUAGUCUUAACCAUAAACUAUAGCCGACUAGGGAUCGGAUGAUGUUAAUUUUUANGUACUUCAUUCGGCGCCGUUA
rnacentral:rRNA from 1 species